AAUUAUACAUAUGCUUUUGUAAAAAAAAACAAAAAAAAAACACUUAUACAUGCUUAGGAGACAAAAUAAAAGUCACAAAUAAUGAAGAGAAAAAUGCUUUUUAGCAUGUACUUUUUUCUCAUUGUUGUCUUAGCUACACAAGAAGCAGUGGUGCAGAUUGAGGCGGCAUGUGCGAUAAGAACAAUUCUAUAUACAGAUGCAUGCAUUGAUGAAUAUCACAAUGUUUCUUGUUACCAUAUGUGCAAAGCAGCAAAUAAACUUUUAUUGGGUGGUGGAUGCAAAAAUGGAAAAUGCUAUUGUUACAAUAAAUGCGAUUGAUAGGGCCAGAGGACUUAUUAUAAUAAGAGAUGAGAGGAUUCAAUGAUAACCCUUGGAUAAAAAUUAAUUAAAUGUAAUAAAUUUGAACUUUGCAUUCCUAAACAAUUCUCUCAUCUUCUUCUU